UAACGCGUGGAUAACCUGCCUCACACAGGGGAGUAACAGUUAGAAAUGACUGCUAAUACCGCAUAAGCGCACGGCAUCGCAUGAUGCAGUGUGAAAAACUCCGGUGGUGUGAGAUGGAUCCGCGUCUGAUUAGGUAGUUGGUGGGGUAACGGCCUACCAAGCCGACGAUCAGUAGCCGACCUGAGAGGGUGACCGGCCACAUUGGGACUGAGACACGGCCCAA
rnacentral:rRNA from 1 species